UUUGCCACACAACGACAAGAAGUUGAGAGUCCCUCCUCCCCCUCAAAAUGUGUCACUGGUCUGAGAACAUGAUUCGAGACCUGCAAUAGUACCACACAGAGGCAUAGUUAAAUCCCUUUGGGAAGAAUGUAGGGUAAGUAUGAAGUAUCUUUUGCUCCACUUAUUUCAAGGACUGGUUGGGUCCUUGCUGCCUUCCUGACUUACCA
rnacentral:lncRNA from 12 species